UGGUUUAAGAAGGUUUGAGUGCAAAUCAAACGGUGGGCUUGGAAACGGCCCUUAAGCCU
rnacentral:tRNA from 1 species